UACGUAGGGCGCAAGCGUUAUCCGGAAUUAUUGGGCGUAAAGAGCUCGUAGGCGGUUUGUCGCGUCGAAUGUGAAAACCCGGGGCUCAACCCCGGGCCUGCAUUCGAUACGGGCAGACUAGAGUUCGGUAGGGGAGACUGGAAUUCCUGGUGUAGCGGUGAAAUGCGCAGAUAUCAGGAGGAACACCGAUGGCGAAGGCAGGUCUCUGGGCCACUACUGACGCUGAGAAGCGAAAGCAUGGGGAGCAAACAGG
rnacentral:rRNA from 1 species